rnacentral:rRNA from 1 species
ACUUUGGCUGGUCGCUGGCUUCUUAGAGAGACUAUCAACUCAAGUUGAUGGAAGUUUGAGGCAAUAACAGGUCUGUGAUGCCCUUAGAUGUUCUGGGCCGCACGCGCGCUACACUGACAGAGCCAACGAGUUCUUCACCUUGUUCGAAAGAAUUGGGUAAUCUUGUUAAACUCUGUCGUGCUGGGGAUAAAGCAUUGCAAUUAUUGCUUUUCAACGAGGAAUGCCUAGUAAGCGCGUGUCAUCAGCAUGCGUUGAUUACGUCCCUGACCUUUGUACACACCGCCCGUCGCU